UACGAAGGGGGCGAGCGUUGUUCGGAUUUAUUGGGCGUAAAGAGCGUGUAGGCGGUCUGGUAGGUCCGUUGUGAAAACUCGAGGCUCAACCUCGAGACGCCGAUGGAAACCCUCAGACUAGAGUCCGGAAGAGGAGAGUGGAAUUCCUGGUGUAGCGGUGGAAUGCGCAGAUAUCAGGAAGAACACCCGUGGCUAAGGCGGCUCUCUAGUACGUGACUGACGCUGAGACGCGAAAGCGUGGGGAGCGAACAGG
rnacentral:rRNA from 1 species